rnacentral:rRNA from 1 species
AAUCAACGCUGGCGGCGUGCCUAACACAUGCAAGUCGAGCGAGAGGGGGUAGCAAUACCCUAGUAAAGCGGCGCACGGGUGAGUAACACGUGGGUAAUCUGCCUCGAAGUGGGGAAUAACACCGGGAAACCGGUGCUAAUACCGCAUAAUCUGGCGAAGUCUGCGGAUUUUGUCAGCAAAGGAGCAAUUCGCUUUGAGAGGAGCCCGCGGCUGAUUAGCUAGUUGGUGAGGUAAUGGCUCACCAAGGCUACGAUCAGUAGCCGGUCUGAGAGGACGGUCGGCCACACUGGAACUGAGACACGGUCCAGACUCCUACGGGAGGCAGCAGUGGGGAAUUUUUGGCAAUGGGGGCAACCCUGACCAAGCAACGCCGCGUGGGUGAUGAAGUCUCUUGGGACGUAAAACCCUUUCGACAGGGACGAAACCGCAAGGUUGACGGUACCUGUAGAAGAAGCCCCGGCUAACUCCGUGCCAGCAGCCGCCGUAAAAC